rnacentral:rRNA from 1 species
UACGUAGGGUGCAAGCGUUAAUCGGAAUUACUGGGCGUAAAGCGUGCGUAGACGGUAGCGUAAGUCAGAUGUGAAAGCCCCGGGCUCAACCUGGGAACUGCAUUUGAGACUGCUCUGCUCGGGUGCGGAAGAGGGAAGCGGAAUUUCCGGUGUAGCGGUGAAAUGCGUAGAUAUCGGAAGGAACACCAGUGGCGAAAGCGGCUUCCUGGUCCGACACCGACGUUCAGGCACGAAAGCGUGGGGGAGCAAACAGGGA